rnacentral:tRNA from 1 species
UCCCUGGUGGCUCAGAUGGUAAAGAAUCCACCUGCAAUGUGGGAGACCUGGGUUUGAUCCCUGGGUCGGGAA